rnacentral:lncRNA from 1 species
UAGAACCCAUGUGAGAAAACCAGUCAGUAACCCUGAAGAGCAGGAGACAAGACCAGCCAUGGGUGCACCUACAGCACGGCUUGAGUUAAAUGGGACCGUGAAAACUGGUGCAAGUCCCAGAUGAUGGUGAUGGUUCAGACCCAGGCCCAGCAGGAGACGCACUGUAGGUCCAAGAUGCAUCCUGAGGACCAAGCUACCAGCAGCUUAGGGAUGGAAUCCAUCCAGAGCAACCCAUGAGGGGACCAGGACUGCAGGGGACAAGGACAUUCCCAGCUCUUCAGGGCGUGGGGCCUGUAAAUCUGUCCCUGGUGAGGCACACCAUCUGGGCAGGAUGUGGAUUACCUAAGCCAGCCAGAGGGAAAAGAGGCUUCAGAGCCAAGACACACCUGAGCAACACGUAGCUGGGCUGAGCUAUCCUCACCUGGCCUCGUCCCUCCUUCACUUGCUCUCCCUUUCUGGAAUGACAGCGCAAGACACUGCCUCCAUCUCGGCAACCUAUGCCAAGAAGCUUUUAUUUUUAAAUCCACAAACAAUGACCUAGCAGCUGCUCCGAGG